rnacentral:rRNA from 1 species
GUGAGUCAUCGAAUCUUUGAACGCAUCUUGCGCUUCUUGGUAUUCCAAGGAGCAUGCCUGUUUGAGUGUCAUUAAGUUCUCAACCACAUUGAUUCUUUUUGAUGUGGCUUGGUUAUUGGAAGCUUGCAGGUCUUAUUUUAUAUGUGUCUGCUCUUCUAAAAUGCAUUAGUGGUAUCUGAGCAGAAGCUACUACAGAUGUGAUAAUAUGUUUUACAUCUUGGUCAUGCUGCAUGAGCAGAUUAUACCGCUUCUAAAAGUGAAUGUAUUAUGAUAUAUUUGACCUCAAAUCAGGUAGGAUUACCCGCUGAACUUAA